AGCAGCCGCGGUAAUUCCAGCUCCAAUAGCGUAUAUUAAAGUUGUUGCAGUUAAAAAGCUCGUAGUUGAAUUUCGGGGUCUGUCCAUUGGUCGGGCUUCACGGUCCGUACUGGUGUGAUGGGUUCCUACCUUCUGAAUAACCAGCAUGCCAUUUAGUUGGUGCGCCGGGGAAGCAGAGCUAUUACCUUGAAAAAAUUAGAGUGCUUAAAGCAGGCUAGUGCUUGAAUAGAUUAGCAUGGAAUAAUAAAAUAGGACGGCAUGGUUCUAUUUUGUUGGUUUCUAGGAUCACCGUAAUGAUUAAUAGGGAUAGUUGGGGGCAUUAGUAUUCAAUUGUCAGAGGUGAAAUUCUUGGAUUUAUUGAAGACUAACUUCUGCGAAAGCAUUUGCCAAGGAUGUUUUCAUUAAUCAAGAACGAAAGUUAGGGGAUCGAAGACGAUCAGAUACCGUCGU
rnacentral:rRNA from 1 species